rnacentral:rRNA from 1 species
CAUGGGGAAUAUUGCACAAUGGGGGAAACCCUGAUGCAGCCAUGCCGCGUGUGUGAAGAAGGCCUUCGGGUUGUAAAGCACUUUCAGUAGGGAGGAAGGUAGUGUAGUUAACACCUGCAUUAUUUGACGUUACCUACAGAAGAAGCACCGGCUAACUCCGUGCCAGCAGCCGCGGUAAUACGGAGGGUGCGAGCGUUAAUCGGAAUUACUGGGCGUAAAGCGCAUGCAGGCGGCCUGUUAAGUCAGAUGUGAAAGCCCCGGGGCUUAACCUCGGAAUUGCAUUUGAAACUGGCAGGCUAGAGUCUUGUAGAGGGGGUAGAAUUUCAGGUGUAGCGGUGAAAUGCGUAGAGAUCUGAAGGAAUACCAGUGGCGAAGGCGGCCCCCUGGACAAAGACUGACGCUCAGAUGCGAAAGCGUGGGGAGCAAACAGGAUUAGAUACCCUGGUAG